rnacentral:tRNA from 1 species
GCGAGAUCGUGCUACGCUGUGCAAGCAUGCAAUUUUCUGACUCGAAAUCAGACGUACUCGCAAGGGUACCGGGGGUUCGAAUCCCUCCCUCGCCA